rnacentral:rRNA from 1 species
AGCCUGAACGCUGGCGGCGUGGCUAAGACAUGCAAGUCGUACGGAUGGAGCAAUCCAUCAGUGGCGGACGGGUGAGUAAUGUAUCGCUAAUGUACCCCAGAGUCUGGGAUAGCCGGGGGAAACUCCGGGUAAUACCAGAUGAUAUACCCCGCAGGCAUCUGUGGGGUCUCAAAGGGCAAUCGCUCUGGGCGCAGGCGAUAUCGUAUCAGGUAGUUGGUGAGGUAACGGCUCACCAAGCCGACGACGCGUAGCUGGUCUGAGAGGACGGCCAGCCACAUCGGGACUGAGACACUGCCCGGACUCCUACGGGGGGCUGCAGUAACGAAUCUUCCGCAAUGCACGCAAGUGUGACGGAGCGACGCCGCGUGUGGGACGAAGUCCUUCGGGAUGUAACCACUGUCAGGGGUUACCAAGUUCUGAGGAGCCCCGAGAGGAAGGCACGGCUAACUCUGUGCCAGCAGCCGCGGU